rnacentral:rRNA from 1 species
AGUGAACGCUGGCGGCAGGCCUAACACAUGCAAGUCGAACGGCAGCACAGUAAGAGCUCGCUCUUACGGGUGGCGAGUGGCGGAUGGGUGAGGAAUACAUCGGAAUCUACUUUUUCGUGGGGGAUAACGUAGGGAAACUUACGCUAAUACCGCAUACGACCUACGGGUGAAAGCAGGGGAUCAUCGGACCUUGCGCGAUUGAAUGAGCCGAUGUCGGAUUAGCUAGUUGGCGGGGUAAAGGCCCACCAAGGCAACGAUCCGUAGCUGGUCUGAGAGGAUGAUCGGCCACACUGGAACUGAGACACGGUCCAGACUCCUACGGGAGGCAGCAGUGGGGAAUAUUGGGCAAUGGGCGCAAGCCUGAUCCAGCCAUACCGCGUGGGUGAAGAAGGCCUUCGGGUUGUAAAGCCCUUUUGUUGGGAAAGAAAAGCAGCAGGUUAAUACCCCGCUGUUCUGACGGUACCCAAAGAAUAAGCACCGGCUAACUUCGUG